UAGUCCCAUUUGUAUAAACAAGAAAUUAAAUAUUUGCAGCUGUUUGUAAUGAAAUAAAACUGCACAGCUUAAGAUAAGCUUGUCUGUCAAUGAUUAUGUUACCCUCAAGUUCAAAUCAGAUUAUGAUUAUAGAAAGUAAUGAUAUGUAAAAAAAAAUCCAGGACAUACACCGGCAUAUGGGACGCAAUGUGUAUAUAAAUAUAUGGUAUGGCUCAAUGCUCCGAAUGCGGAAAAAUGUCGAAGACCAGAGCUGGAUUAUUGCGCCACAUAAGGGGACACGCUAACUCUGGAAACUAUAACUGCUGUGGGAAAGCAUUUCAGGAUGCCUACAAUCUUAGAAGGCUUCAACGAACAAAGGACCCCAAUGUCAUGUGUGUGUACAGUGCGGCAGGAGCUUUGCGGACAAGUACCUACUCGUGGCUAGAGAGAAAAGUGCAAAAAAGAGGGAUUGGUGAAAUGUUACCAGUGUGGGUUGGCAGUUAGGAGUGAGAAUGACCUCAGAGAGCACGUCAAUACCCGCAUGCAUGACAAGUGUUACAGUAGUGAGGAGUGUUUCAAAACGUACAAACGCAAAACAAACCUUUCUCGAUACGUGAGGACUUCACAUAAAUCCGUGAAUACUGAUUAAAGAUCAUAAUGGUUUACAGUUUGUCUGUGUAACUUCAUUAUCGUUUUACGUUAUUUUAUUCGUUGUUUUACUUUUACUUUACUUUUCAAAAUGAUUCUAAAGUUAUCCGAAUUUGAUUAAUUUUUAGGUUUCGUUUAGUUCGUUUGUGUGUUUGAAAUCAUUCUCAAAUAAUUGUGCAAUAAUUUGGAUUUACGUUAUUCAUUAAUAUAUCGCAUCUGUGAUUUGUAUUAUCGAAUCUGUGAUUCUUUUUUAAUUAUAACUUGAUUAAAGUUUUGCGAUGUUU